rnacentral:rRNA from 1 species
CGGAGAAGACGGGACUCGACCUGCUCUAGGGCUAGUGCGAAUGUAGUGAGCUAGGCUACAGCUGCGAUCGUAGCUGUUCGAGAGGACGAUCAGUCACCGGUGAGCACGUCCAGACUCCUACGGGAGCAGCAGUGGGAUUUGCAAGGGAAAGCCUGAUCCAGCAUGCGGGCGGAUGAGGUCCGGUUAGCGCUGUACGGAGGAAGAAGCCUGGGUAUCUCCGUCAUGAUAUAAGAAAUAAACGGCUAUCUACGUCACAGCCGCGGUAAUACGUAGGGGCAACGCUUUGGAUAGGGGUAAAGCGUGCGCAGGGUUUUGUAACAGUGGGAAUCCCCGGUCUCACCUGGGACUUCAUUUGAUGCAAAGUAGAGUGCGGCAGAGGGGGAGGAAUUCCGCGUGUAGCAGGAAUGUUAGAUAUGGGAGGAACACCGAUGGGAAGGCAAUCCCUGGCUGCACACGUCAUGCGAAAGGGGGAGCAACACAGGAUUAAUCCUGGUAGUCACCCUAAACGAUGUCAUGGUUGUUGGGUCUUAAACUCAGUAACGAAGUAACGGUGAAGUGCCCCUGGGGAGUACGCGCAAGGUUGAAAUCAAAGGAAUGCGGGGACCCCCCAAGCGGGGAGAUGUGGUUUAUUUGAGCAACGGAAAACUUCCCCCUUGCAUCCAGGAAUUCCAGAGAUGUUGGUGCUUGAAAGAGAACAGCACACAGGUGCGCAUGGUUGUCGUCAGUGUGUGGUGAGAUGGGGGUUAAGUCCCGCAACGAGCGCAACCCUCCCAUUAGUUUACAUUCAGUGGCACUCUAAGGACUGCCGGUGACAAACCGGAGGAAGGUGGGGAUGACGUCAAGUCUCAUGGCCCUUAGGGGCUACACACGUCAUACAAUGGGGUACAAGGGUUGCCAACCGCGAGGGGAGCUAAUCCCAAAACCUCGUAGUCCGGAUCGCAGUCUGCAACUCGACUGCGUGAAGUCGGAAUCGCUAGUAAUCGGAUCAGAUGUCCGGUGAAUACGUUCCCGGGCUUGUACACACCGCCCUCACACCAUGGGAGCGGUCUCCCAGAAGUAGGUGCUCUAACCGAAGGAGGCGUACACGAUGAUCUGGU